GAGCUUAGACACUGAAGACUGAGGAGCAAAUCCGCUGCUAGGCUGGGAUGAGCAGCCUUCUUUCCUGCCCUUGGAUCAUUUAAGUCUCCUGGAUUUCUGUGAGACUUUGGGAGCCUCCUGGAGUCCAGUAACAACCAAUCUGUAAUUUCCAGCCCAGUGGAAUUAGAGACUGGAAUAGCAGUUCACUAGAGACCCAGGUUUAUGGAUUGAGAGGCAAACCUGCUAGAUAUCCGAACGUCUGCUCUGCACCAGGUCUUGAAGGAAAACCCAGGGCUUGCCCCAUCUCUUGCCACACACCUUACUGCUCAUGGUCACUGCAGGUACUUGACAGCCUGAGAAAUGUGUAGCCGCUUCUCCAUUCUCAGAUCAAUGUCUGCGUAUUGACCAGGGUCAGCACUCAAUGGCUGCCUCCUGAUACAGCAAGCUCUCUGCCUAGCUCCUCUCCCACCAGGCGUCGCAGAGCUGUGAAUUGCAGUUAUCACAAGCAAAAUGAAAUGAGUUUGAGCCUAAGGGGAAUCCAUAAUUGGAGUGCAGGAAUGUUGCAGUUUCACAGCUGGGCCUCAGGCACGAUGGGGCAGAGAAUCUGAAGGCCACCGGAAGUCCACUUGCAAUAAAUACUCAUUAGGUGACUGUCGCAAUUGUAGGUGAGGGAUCUACAGCCAAGAAACGAUUCAGACAAGGCUCCUGCCCUUCAUGAGUUUACAUUCUAGUGGAACAAAGAGACAGCAAUAAUAGGCAAAUCCUGUCAUUUCUGCCAGUGGAAAGUGCCAUGAAGACACUGUAGCAGGACAGCAGGGUAGAGGAGGCAGUGAUGAGAGGUGGGGAGGGGGAUUGCCAUGGGAAGAUACUGCCCUGUGAGUGAGAAAGCCCUGAGGGGACCCGGCUGGGAGGGUCAGCACUGGUGCACAUGGGUAGGAUGGAGGGAGGCAGGAAGAACAGGCCCAGAUCUCAAAGACACCAGCAGAGCAAGAAGUUGACACUUUAUUGCAAAGCUGCUGGGAGACAUUGGAGGGCUUGAAGGAGGGGCGUGACAUGAUUUGCUUCAUGUGGUGAGUGGAUUGUAGGGGAGUGAAGAGGCCAUGCCCUACCCAGACCCUCCUCAGGGCUCACCUGUGCUGCCUGGCACAGAGCAGGAGUGGAAAUACACGUUGGCUGAAUUACUGUCAAAGUCUUAUCUUUUCUCUGUCAAGUCUUAGCUGGCUUGAGACCAUGUAGUUCCCUUCAUCUGGAAAAUGACACCAAAUAUUCUAUAACUAGCUGUUAUCAGACCCGUUUCAGGAGCAGUGCAAAAUACAG
rnacentral:lncRNA from 1 species